rnacentral:tRNA from 1 species
AGGAGCUUAGUUAAGUGGUAUAACGACAGACUCCAAAUCUGUUGUCGUGGGUCCGAUUCCCACAGCUCCUGCCA